rnacentral:rRNA from 1 species
ACGAACGCUGGCGGCGUGCUUAACACAUUCAAGUCGAACGGAAAGGCCCUGCUUUUGUGGGGUGCUCGAGUGGCGAACGGGUGAGUAACACGUGAGUAACCUGCCCUUGACUUUGGGAUAACUUCAGGAAACUGGGGCUAAUACCGGAUAGGAGCUCCUGCUGCAUGGUGGGGGUUGGAAAGUUUCGGCGGUUGGGGAUGGACUCGCGGCUUAUCAGCUUGUUGGUGGGGUAGUGGCUUACCAAGGCUUUGACGGGUAGCCGGCCUGAGAGGGUGACCGGCCACAUUGGGACUGAGAUACGGCCCAGACUCCUACGGGAGGCAGCAGUGGGGAAUAUUGCACAAUGGGCGGAAGCCUGAUGCAGCAACGCCGCGUGCGGGAUGCCGGCCUUCGGGUUGUAAACAGCUUUAGCCUGUGACGAAGCGUGAGUGACGGUAAUGGGUAAAGAAGCACCGGCUAACUACGUG